rnacentral:rRNA from 1 species
GAGUUUGAUCAUGGCUCAGAUUGAACGCUGGCGGCAGGCCUAACACAUGCAAGUCGAGCGGAAACGGCAGUAUUGAAGCUUCGGUGGAUUUACUGGACGUCGAGCGGCGGACGGGUGAGUAACGGCUGGGAACCUGCCCUGACGAGGGGGAUAACCGUUGGAAACGACGGCUAAUACCGCAUAAUGUCUACGGACCAAAGGUGGCCUCUACAUGUAAGCUAUCGCGUUGGGAUGGGCCCAGUUAGGAUUAGCUAGUUGGUAAGGUAAUGGCUUACCAAGGCGACGAUCCUUAGCUGGUUUGAGAGGAUGAUCAGCCACACUGGGACUGAGACACGGCCCAGACUCCUACGGGAGGCAGCAGUGGGGAAUAUUGCACAAUGGGGGAGACCCUGAUGCAGCCAUGCCGCGUGUGUGAAGAAGGCCUUCGGGUUGUAAAGCACUUUCAGCAGUGAGGAAGGUGGUGUACUUAAUAAGUGCAUGGCCUGACGUUAGCUGCAGAAGAAGCACCGGCUAACUCCGUGCCAGCAGCCGCGG